rnacentral:rRNA from 1 species
GACGAACGCUGGCGGCGUGCCUAAUACAUGCAAGUUGAGCGAUGAAGAUUGGUGCUUGCACCAAUUUGAAGAGCAGCGAACGGGUGAGUAACGCGUGGGGAAUCUGCCUUUGAGCGGGGGACAACAUUUGGAAACGAAUGCUAAUACCGCAUAAUAACUUUAAACAUAAGUUUUAAGUUUGAAAGAUGCAAUUGCAUCACUCAAAGAUGAUCCCGCGUUGUAUUAGCUAGUUGGUGAGGUAAAGGCUCACCAAGGCGAUGAUACAUAGCCGACCUGAGAGGGUGAUCGGCCACAUUGGGACUGAGACACGGCCCAAACUCCUACGGGAGGCAGCAGUAGGGAAUCUUCGGCAAUGGACGAAAGUCUGACCGAGCAACGCCGCGUGAGUGAAGAAGGUUUUCGGAUCGUAAAACUCUGUUGGUAGAGAAGAACGUUGGUGAGAGUGGAAAGCUCAUCAAGUGACGGUAACUACCCAGAAAGGGACGGCUAACUACG